rnacentral:rRNA from 1 species
AUGACAUCACGUAUCUCCGCACCACCAGGCGCUUGCCGGGGGAGACGGAGGUCGCCGUGCGUUUGCCGCAGGGCAAGCAGGAGCCGCGACCCGAGGGCACCGAGCGCGUGGCACUUCAAGCGUGGGUUCAACUUUCCUGCGAGCAGCUUCUUCCGCAACUUCCUAGAGUUGUUCGGGCUCCAACCCCAUCAUCUUGGCGCGGGCGCCAUCGUUCAGCUCUAUGGCUUCGUCACCCUCUGCGAGGGGAACCUGGGGGUCGAGCCUUCAAUCGACCUCUUGGUGCACUUCUUCUCCUUGAAGCAGCAGGGGCCGAAGGCCGGGGAGAUGUCCGACUGCGGGGCCGCCGUCUUUCGUCGACGCGCCGCCGCGGGCGAAACAGAACUGUGGUUAUUAUCCCCGGCACCCGUCGCAGGAGGUGCUCAACCUGUGCCAGCGGGUGUCGGAGAUGAUGGAGCGGGAAGGCUCAUCGGCACCGACCUCAUAAUUGCUUUCAUCAGGCGUCGGGUGCUGCCACUGCGGUAG